rnacentral:rRNA from 1 species
GACAGAGGGUGCAAACGUUGUUCGGAAUUACUGGGCGUAAAGCGCGUGUAGGCGGCCCUGCAAGUCGGGUGUGAAAUCCCACGGCUCAACCGUGGAAGUGCACUCGAAACUGCAGGGCUAGAGUCCUGGAGAGGAAGGUGGAAUGCUUGGUGUAGAGGUGAAAUUCGUAGAUAUCAAGCGGAACACCGGUGGCGAAGGCGGCCUUCUGGACAGUGACUGACGCUGAGACGCGAAAAGCGUGGGGAGCAACAGGAGUU